rnacentral:rRNA from 1 species
UACGUAGGGGACAAGCGUUGUCCGGAUUUAUUGGGCGUAAAGAGCGUGUAGGCGGCCUGAAAGGUCAGCUGUGAAGACUCGAGGCUCAACCUCGAGACGUCGGUUGAAACCAUCUGGCUAGAGUCCGGAAGAGGAGUGUGGAAUUCCCGGUGUAGCGGUGAAAUGCGCAGAUAUCGGGAAGAACACCCGUGGCGAAGGCGGCACUCUGGGACGGUACUGACGCUGAGACGCGAAAGCGUGGGGAGCGAACAGG